AUUGAACGCUGGCGGCAGGCCUAAAACAUGCAAGUCGAACGAGUGGCGGACGGGAGAGUAAUGUCUGGGAAACUGACUGAUGGAGGGGGAUAACGACUGGAAACGGUAGCUAAUACCGCAUACCAUCGGAUGUGCCCAGCUGGGCUUAGCUAGUCGGGGGGGUAAAGGCUCACCUAGGCGACGAUCCCUAGCUGGUCUGCGAGGAUGACCAGCCACACUGGAACUGGUACACGGUCCAGACUCCGACGGGAGGCAGCAGUGGGGAAUCUUGCACAAUGGGCGCAAGCCUGAUGCAGCCAUGCCGCGUGUAUGAAGAAGGCCUUCGGGUUGUAAAGUACUUUCGGCGGAGAGGCGUUACCCGCAGAAGAAGCACCGUCUAACUCCGUGCCAGCAGCCGCGGUAAUUC
rnacentral:rRNA from 1 species